rnacentral:rRNA from 1 species
UACGGGGGGGGCAAGCGUUGUUCGGAAUUACUGGGCGUAAAGGGCUCGUAGGCGGCCAACUAAGUCGGACGUGAAAUCCCUCGGCUUAACCGGGGAAUGGCGUCCGAUACUGGAUGGCUCAAGUGUGGGAGAGGGAUGCGGAAUUCCAGGUGUAGCGGUGAAAUGCGUAGAUAUCUGGAGGAACACCGGUGGCGAAGGCGGCAUCCUGGACCACGACUGACGCUGAGGAGCGAAAGCGUGGGGAGCGAACAGG